UACGGAGGGUGCAAGCGUUGUCCGGAAUCACUGGGCGUAAAGGGCGCGUAGGCGGCUCAUGAAGGCUGUGGUGAAAGUCCGGGGCUCAACCUCGGAUCGGCCGUGGCGACUCGUGGGCUGGAGCACUGUAGAGGCGGGUGGAAUUCCUGGUGUAGCGGUGAAAUGCGCAGAUAUCAGGAGGAACACCGGUGGCGAAGGCGGUGGUCUGGGCCGGCACUGACGCUGAGGAGCGAAAGCGUGGGGAGCGAACAGG
rnacentral:rRNA from 1 species